CCCUUAGAUGUUCUGGGCCGCACGCGCGCUACACUGUUUGAUUCAGCGAGUCUUAACCUUGACCGAAAGGUUUGGGUAAUCUUCUAAAGUCAAACGUGAUGGGGAUCGAUCAUUGCAAUUAUUGAUCGUGAACGAGGAAUUCCUAGUAAAUGCAAGUCAUCAGCUUGCGUUGAUUACGUCCCUGCCCUUUGUACACACCGCCCGUCGCUACUACCGAUUGAAUGGUUUAGUGAGAUCUCCGGAUUGGCUCUGUAGGUCCCGCAAGGGAUUUAUUAGUAGCCAAGAAGCUGCUCAAACUUGAUCAUUUAGAGGAAGUAAAGGUCGUAACA
rnacentral:rRNA from 1 species